rnacentral:misc_RNA from 1 species
CGAAAUGUAAUAAGUAGUAUAAAUUAUAAAAUUUAGUGAAUUAUUAAAUCUUUAAACGCAUAUUACGCCCCUUGGUAUUCUAUAGGGUAUACCUAUUUGAGCGUUAUCUACACCCUUAAGCUCUAUUUAGUAUUGGGCGUUUAUUCCGCCUUCGCGCGUAGACUUGCUUUAAAUAUAUUAGUAGUAGUUUUUACUUCCUCCUGCGUAGUAUAUUACGCUUCUCGAGGCUAUAGUGGCCCAUGUUUAAUAAGCUAAACCCCCCUAUCUUUAAUCUUAGAUUAGGUAGGGAUACCCGCUGAACUUAAGC